CCAACCUAAUCCUCCUCCAUUCUCUUUCUCCCAAAGCCCCUGUGAGUGCCCACUCAUAGUCAUGGCCAUUCUGUACUGUUUGCCCACACAAGGCUGGAAUAGCCUUCCCCAAAGUGGGAUUAUAGUGAGGGUACAAGGCGUGUCCAGGACCUCCACCCCCCUGGUUUCCUAGGCUAGCUCUUCCAAUCCAGUACAAACCACUACAACCAGAUCUAAGGCACCGACGCGCAAGUAGACGCAAUGAGGGCUACUGACACCAUGUUCCUCUAUUCAUCUUGCAAAUAGGGGUGUUUACAGAGCAGGGAUUGUCUGUUGCUAGCAGAGGUCUCCAAAUUGUGAACCUCCAGCUGUCUGGGCAUGCUGUAAGUUGUAGUUUUGCAACAGCUGGAGGCCCACAGUUUGGAGACCACUGGAAUAAAGCAGGAAAAAAAUCUAGAAAAACUACGCAUUUCAUAGGAAAGAAGUAAAGAAAAAGCUUUUACCCACAUGUCAAGGUAACCCGAGGCCAGAUAAGGGGGUCAUCACUUACAGCCGCAUCAGAGACUGAUUCAUCGGCCGCUCAAACACCUUUCAUUAUGCAUUCUGCAGAUAAGCGCAAAGUAAUGGCCAUCAUUAAUGCCGCAAUUACUGACCGUCUGGCGCCAACAUCUUACCCAUCCAGAUAAUUACAUGUUUCUGGCUUCGCUGUGAAUAAAAAGCCUCAUGAUUCAGUCAAUAACCAUCGUCCAGAAGGUGAAGGCCGAAGUGAAAUCCUUACAGCCCGGGCGGUGACAUUUGUGGUGACGGAUACUUCAUCAGCUCCGUAGAUCACGUGAUCUUGUUUCUCUCACGACCUCUGACCUCCCAAUAAAUCUUCUGUUGACGCUCACUCCAUGGUGUCAUACAUAUUCCCGCGUGCA